rnacentral:rRNA from 1 species
AUUGAACGCUGGCGGCAGGCCUAACACAUGCAAGUCGAGCGGAUGAGUGGAGCUUGCUCCAUGAUUCAGCGGCGGACGGGUGAGUAAUGCCUAGGAAUCUGCCUGGUAGUGGGGGACAACGUUUCGAAAGGAACGCUAAUACCGCAUACGUCCUACGGGAGAAAGCAAGGGACCUUCGGGCCUUGCGCUAUCAGAUGAGCCUAGGUCGGAUUAGCUAGUUGGUGAGGUAAAGGCUCACCAAGGCGACGAUCCGUAACUGGUCUGAGAGGAUGAUCAGUCACACUGGAACUGAGACACGGUCCAGACUCCUACGGGAGGCAGCAGUGGGGAAUAUUGGACAAUGGGCGAAAGCCUGAUCCAGCCAUGCCGCGUGUGUGAAGAAGGUCUUCGGAUUGUAAAGCACUUUAAGUUGGGAGGAAGAGCAGUAAGUUAAUACCUUGCUGUUUUGACGUUACUCGCAGAAGAAGCACCGGCUAACUCCGUGCCAGCAGCCGCGUAACAC